AGAGUCAAUGAUGGCGAAUGCUUUCAUAUGAGUUGUGUAUCACGGCUACAGGUCUGGGAGUCUGAGGUCCAC